ACCGGGGGUCAAAACACAAUUUAAAAAAAUUGCACCCCGUCAGCGCCACGUCAGCAGCCCAGUCAGCAGCCCUGGCCAACCAGGACCUGCCACGUGGCAAGACCACGUCGACCCGGGAACGGGCCACGUGGGCGAUCCGCGUGCGCGCGAUCGGACGGCCCAGAUGCGUCCCCGCGCGCACGGACGACCCAGAUCAAGCGUGCGCACGGACGGCCCAGAUGCAAGCGCACGGACGACCCAGAUGUACGCGCACAGACGGCCCAGAUUCAAUCAAGCAUGGAUGGCCCAUAUUUAAUCAAAAUGGACGGCUGUGAUCAAAAGGCAAAAGGGUAUAAAGAAAACCUCCACACCUGACCACAAAAACCCUAGCCGCCUACCCUUGCCGGAGAAGACGAACCAGACGCUGGAGGAGCCGGCUGCCGCCACCCGCUGCUGCACCGGGGAGUUUUUCGACCACCGAUCAAGGUAAAUUUCAUACCCCGGCUCAUUUUUCAAUGCUGAGUUCC
rnacentral:lncRNA from 1 species